UUGGGGAAUUUUGGACAAUGGGCGCAAGCCUGAUCCAGCAAUGCCGCGUGCAGGAAGAAGGCCUUCGGGUUGUAAACUGCUUUUGUACGGAACGAAACGGUCCGGGUUAAUACCCUGGGCUAAUGACGGUACCGUAAGAAUAAGCACCGGCUAACUACGUGCCAGCAGCCGCGGUAAUACGUAGGGUGCAAGCGUUAAUCGGAAUUACUGGGCGUAAAGCGUGCGCAGGCGGUUUUGUAAGACAGGCGUGAAAUCCCCGGGCUCAACCUGGGAAUUGCGCUUGUGACUGCAAGGCUGGAGUGCGGCAGAGGGGGAUGGAAUUCCGCGUGUAGCAGUGAAAUGCGUAGAUAUGCGGAGGAACACCGAUGGCGAAGGCAAUCCCCUGGGCCUGCACUGACGCUCAUGCACGAAAGCGUGGGGAGCAAACAGGAUUAGAAACCCUGGUAGUCC
rnacentral:rRNA from 1 species